GGGCGCGUAGCUCAGAUGGUUAGAGCGCACGCCUGAUAAGCGUGAGGUCAGUGGUUCGAUUCCACUCGUGCCCA
rnacentral:tRNA from 1 species